UAGCUGGGACUACAGGCACCUGCCACAAUGCCGGGCUAUUUUUUUGUUGCAGUUUGGCUGGGGCCAGGUUUGAACCCGCCAUCCUUGGUAUAUGGGGCCAAUGCCCUAUCCUGAGCGUGAAGCCAGCUCUUGGUGUUGCUUUAGUGCAAUUGCUAUUUGCCAUUGAUGAUCGUUCUUCUCUCCCUUUGGGGGAGUAAGAGGGAGAGAACGCAGUCUGAGUGGU
rfam:Otolemur garnettii contig199754, whole genome shotgun sequence.